UCCCUGGUGGCUUAGUAAUAAAGCAUCUGCCUGUAAUGCAAGAGACACAGGUUCAAUCCCUGCAUUGGGAA
rnacentral:tRNA from 1 species